AGGGAGGGAGGGAGAGAGAGAGGGAAAUGUCACCCGGAGCCCGGGCCCGCGGGGGAGAGGUGGCGCGUUAGAGAUGUGUGUGGGAGAGAGGGAGAGAGAGAGAGAGGGGGAGCGAGACCUCCGCUGGCCCCGCGAACUUGUCAAGUGCUACAGUACAAAACACGAAGCUUUUGAGCUCAAAAAGCCUAGACCAUCAUGGCUACGAAAAUUACUGCUGCUCAGAGAGUGUGUAAUUCUGGAGCUCCUUAAGGAAAAAAGUAGUGCCAUGCAACAUCAGAACAGUGGCUAAGUGAUCUUCUGCACAGCAGCCAUGAACUUCAACCUUGAACCGAAGAACUCAUCAAAUGCCUUAGGAAAGACAGGAUGGAGUUGGAAGAGAAGAAUGGAUCUCCAUGACGGGCAGUCAGUUAUAGUCAUGGUCAGCAUGCUUGGUUGGUCUGCCAGUCUACACAUGUAGUUCAGACCUGCCCACAAUGUGAGCUGCCUCCUGUUCUCCUAAACAUCAGAAGCUGAAAUUUAGAGAAAUCUGUUUAGAAGGGAAUGGGAAAACAGCCAGGCUAGCUUCGGCACAAGAGUGUUGGUGGCACCUGUAAGCAUGCAGGUGUGUGGAGGAACAGGUCCUGUUCUCGCUGUUGUUACUCCCACAUAGGCAGACUCUGUAAUUGAUUAUGUGUGGGUAGGGCCCUAUUGAAAUUCAGGAGAUUCUGCAGUAGUGCGGGGUUCUUUUUGUGAAAGUUCAGUUGCAAGAUCAGGACCCUACUGUGACUCCUUACUGUGCAUUCUGUCACUGUCUCAUUGAUUGUACUGGAACCUGCUUAUUGAGAUAAUUACCAAAUAUUAUAUUCCUCAAAACUUCUUAAUGGCUCUGAGGCUUUGUGGAUAGUUGGUCACAUGAUGAGAAAAUUCAGCUACUGCUGGAGUUCAUGAUUCCUGAGAAGUAACACCUUGAAGUUCUGGCACUGUCUUCUACAAACUAACUUACCCUGAGCUGGCUUCCUGUUACUGUGUCAAUGAAACAUCAAAUGUUGAUACUAUGUGUGAAACAACAUUUGAUAUUAUGGCUGUUAAGCUACUUGAAAAAAAUACUAUACAGAUGGAUUUUGUGUUUACAAGACCUGGCAUUUAAAAGUCUGUGUCAUGGAUGCAGAUCAUCAGUAAGGAUAAAGCAUUUAUCUUGCUAUUAUUCUGCUUGCACUGCUUGAUUUUCGGGUCAGGAAGCUAAUUUCAGCAUUGCCAAUGCCCUUUUUUCUUGAAUUCUAAUUCUCUCUAGGACACGCUCUUCAGGUCUACUUUGCCUGUAGUGCUGAGCUAUUGUGAUAGUUUGAUUUUUAUGAUUUGCAUCAAGUGUGAAGCUUUCAAAGCCAUGUGUCAAAGGUCAGGUGAGUGGCUCAGCAAUGUGUGACACUACAAAAGCUGCAUUACAUCAGAGAUCUCUCACUGCACCUGCAAAUGUACACUUUCUAGAAAAUAACCCUGGACAAGAAUAUCCUACUUCUAAUGAACAGAUUUCAGCUCUUCUGCUCUAGUGGCCUGCACUACCCUACCCUGCCCUGCACUGCACUGAGCUCCAUUUUGUAAUUGGCAGGAGAUAUUUGACUAACCUGCUUUCCAAGACCCCCAAGGAUGGAGAUUGCAGAACGUCUCAAGGACCCAGUUCACCACCAGAAGGAUCAAAAUGCUGAUCUUUGUGAGCGUACUGCUGUAACCAGACAAAACUCUUCUACAAAUCUGUGAUGUUCUUUGGUCUUAAACAGCCUUUGUUGUUCAGAAUCAAUUCUAAAAAAAUGUAGCACCAACUUCAGGCUCAUUCAAAGUGAUUUAGCAGACUUCAUCAGAAGCACAUGUGAUGCUGCUGUCAGACCCAUCAGCCCCUCCCAUGGCAUGUACAACUGGAGCACAAGGCAGUGCCACAGCCUCUGCUGGCAGAGGUGCAGUAGCUGAGGGCUGGAGAGACGCUGUGCAGUCAUUGAUACUCAUGUUCAUGAAGUGUUCCAUAUGGUAGCCCAAUGGCUUGAGGGACACCAAUUCUUCAGUCUUUGCAACAAUGACUGGCUUUCAUUUACUGGUGUGACAGCACUUCUAAUGAAACACCCAGAAAGAGCUUCACAGGUGCCAGAACUUGAAGGAACAGGGGUUGCUUCUGUCACUGUUCUUUGAUGGAUUCUUUGUGUACAGCUGCCAGCACUGGCCCUUCUGUUCCAGGGGAGGAAGGUUUGUCCUGUGGACUGGGAGGUGCUGAAUAACAUGGUGGUGUCUGUUUAUGUGCUUGUGGGGUAGAGAGCAGAGCAGAGCAGGUAAUGCACACACCUCACUGGGGCACAUAACGACAUUAGAAACACUUGAAUUCUUAUGCAGAAGAGAUUUCCAUUUAGAAUGGGUCUUAGCUGCAUAAAGCAUCCUGAAAUAUCAUAUCUACUACAAGGUUAAUGAUGCUCUAUAUUAUUCCUUAAAAAACACUUGAUGUGAAACACUGCCCUGUGUCUUUGCCAGAUAUUCUCAUUGUUAUUAUUAUAAACAGCAAAGAAUGUAUGUUUGAUAACAUUUUUACUAUGGCUUUUUUUUUUUUCAUAGGAAUUAGAUCUCAUUAGAAAUCAGAAGCAAGAUUUAUUUUGUGUACUGAUAAAUUAUUAAACCCAGUAAUACAAGCAAGAUUACAUACCAACCCACAGAAAUCCUUCAGAGUUGUUUUUUUAAACCUGUGUCAAUGAACAGUUUAUUCUGAAGCAUUUCAAAUGUGUAUGCAUAUGCAUUAUAUACAUAUAUAUUAUAUAUAUAUAUUUAUAUAUAUAUAUGUAGUGACAAAGCGAGUAGUUUAAUACAUUUUAUGGCUCCAGCCUGGAGUUCUGCAUACAGGAACCUGUGUGUGGUCAAGGAGACUUGCAUACUUUUGAACUCUAAGUUGGCCUAAUAAAAGAUAUCAUACUACAGUGCUUGCUUUGUCAAUCCUGUUUUGCUGGCUCAAAAUGACUUGCAAGAUUAAUUUUCAAUUUUUAACAUAAAACCCAAGAAAAAGAAGUGUUUACUUACUGCAAGGAGUUGAUUCCCUGUUAAUGACCCUGAAGGAGGCUUGUAUACAAGGUACAGAUUGUUGCCAAUUUGAUGUAUAUUCAUGUUACAUAAUAUAAAAAUGAGAAGUUAUACCAUCUUGAGGGCUUUGUUUUUAUAAGUUAAAAAAGCUUUUAAGUAAUCAUACUGUGUGUUUGAUGGUGGAAAUUAGUAUGAAUGUUUCUGGCAGUGGAAUGAUGUGAUGUGGUUAUGCAUUUCUGUUUUCACUGCCUGCUCAAUAUUGGUCUUUUACAAAUACAGAUUACCAUGUCGAUGGAAGGAAUUUACAGCUUUGGCCCCCUUGUCUCACUCUGUGUUACAGCACCCUUUUUUUGUACUAUGUUACAUAUCCUCCCAACUGCAUUUUUGUGACAGAAAAAGGAAAUGUCUCUGGACUGAGAUCCUGAAAAUGUGUGAGCUUUACUAUUUAAUUGAAUGAAAUGAGUAUUAUUUCCCAUUAAGCUUGAUUUCCUGUGGGGUGAAAUCUUGCUUCUCUGAAAUCAGUAGCAAACACACUGCUGUGUAUGAGAGGAUGGAGAGUCCAUCAGUGAUCCCUUACCAGCUAGUGACAUUGCAUCCUGGAAGCUCAGAAAAAAACAACCCUUAACAAUAAGAAUGAUAGAAAGAAUACUCUUUCAAAAGUCAAAAUUUAGGGCUCUCAAAUAAACCCCAAGCUGAAUACAAAAACAGUAUAUAUGACGCAUUUAACACUGCUGGUUUUGGGGCCUCACUGCAUCCCAUACUUACCUCAUCUUGUGGGCAAGGAGCUGCUUGCUCUGACUUCAUGGAAUUGCAGCUGUAUUUGUGGAGUGCUCUCGUCCUUUGGCACUGCCUACCCAGUACAUUAAUACAGUUUAAAUGCACCAGCAUUUUCUCUGGAAGCAAACUUCAAAAUUUGUCUUUAAUCCUGAUGCAAUGCAUAUUCAGAUUUUUUUUAUUUUCCUGGAUUUUAGUUCCAGAGGAAAACAUACUUGACUGCUGCUCCCACCAGCCAGCUGUGGUUUAUGAUGACAAUAAUUAACAGCAAGAUACUGCAGCACAAAAAUGGGGAGCAGAGAAAUGCAGUCCAGCAGCUUCAGAGAUAUGAUUUUUUUAACUACUAAGGAUUCCAAAGUGCUUAACAAACAAUAUUACAGGCAUGGUGGGCAGCUCUGGCCAUUGUGAAGGUCUUCUAGUGCUUCCUAUUUCAAUAGUUUGUUUAUUUUAUUUUAUUUUAUUUUAUUUUAUUUUAUUUUAUUUUAUUUUAUUUUAUUUUAUUUUAUUUUAUUUUAUUUUAUUUUAUUUUAUUUUAUUUUAUUUUAUUUUAUUUUAUUUUCCCAGGGUUCUGCCAAUGUGGAUAUAUUUAGACUAAAUUUAUUUUUAUCCAAUGCCAGUCUCCACGCUUUAAGUUUUUGAAUUGAGAAGUGGUUGAAGUAUUAAUAAGAAGAAGGUUAGAUUUUUGCUUUUUUAAAAAAAUAAUAUCUGCUCCCUGUGUUUUUGAGCAAACACAGGCCUUUCUCUGCCUUUGAAUCAGGUAUGAGCCUUUUGCCGUCCUCACAAAGCCUUUCAAGUUUGGUCGACUGUUUCAAGACAUGGAAAAAACCACAGUUACCAAAUAUCCCAUAGAGGUUUACUAAAGCCUAACAGCAAAUAUUUCCAGAGAUUUCAUCUUCUCCGCCUCGCACAGCUCCUUCCCACGAUCAGACUUUCCAUACACCGUCCUCACAGGAUGACUGAACUCACUGCCUGGGGGCACCAGAGGCCAAAACUGAGGCAACCUCUGUUGUGCUGUCCCUGGGCGUUACUUUGAGCUGCAAUGAUGCUCUGCAGUGGAUCUGGGAGUAGGGAGCCAGUCCCUCCUGAGCUGGAAUGCAUCUUAGGGCUCCCAAAUUUCGGUUUGUAUGCUGUUGGCAAGCCUCCAGCAUAGCUUCUCUUUGCUGAUAGUCUGUACGCACACAGAGGGUUGGACAACCUCAACAAGACCCUGGACAACCACAUCUAAUGGUGAAAUGAGUUCUGCUUGGAGCAGGGGGUGGGAAUAGACAACAUCCUCAGAGUCCUUCCCAGUCUGAGUGAGUCCAUGGUCCUCUGACUCUUUACUGACCAUUUCUCCACUAGUGUGUGUAGGCCUAAAGGCAGCAUCCUAGUUGAUGGGUUUCUGUAGGUAUGAUGCACAUAGUGGAAAUACUAUUUUUUACUUUAUUUUAAAAACAAGGGUAUUCAAAACACCUCAUUAAGAUAAUAUUCAAGAUGCAUGGACUGGUAUCUUAAAAUUAAGAUUAAAAAAAUGAAUCUCUGCAACCUCAGUAUGCUUCUAACAUGUGUUUGUGUGGAAACACUGACUCUAGUUUUGUGAUUGCGCUGUGUUUUCACUCACAUGGCUUCAUCUCUGUAUCUAGCGUGGAUCUGCUCUGGAGAUGAAGCAGCACCAAGGAAGAUUGGUGGAUGCAGAACUCUAGCUCACUUGUUGAGAAGGUGCAAGGACCUGGAACAAGAUGACUGUGCAAAUGUCAUCCAGCAAUCACAACUCUUUCUUUGGUAAUGUCAUCUAUGAUGUUCCAUCUAAUGAAGCCUUCAUCAAGUCAGAUGCAUUUGUGAAGUACAGCGCGGUUCGUUCUUGAAUUAAACAGUUCAGUGUUUGGACCUAAUCCCGAGCCAUGUUGAUAUUUUAGGUUGUGUUUUCCUUCUUGAAUGAUUGCAGACUACUCAUUUUCUCCAGGGCUCUCAGAGGUGACAAGAAUGGACUCCCAAGGCAUGGCUGCAAUGGUUGUUUGAAACAAGAAACAGAUACCUUCUUGCUGUCAUUCAUCUCUGGUCACUGGCAAUCGGAGCUUGAAGGAAGGUGAAAGAAAACUCCUACAGAGAACUGGGAAUAAUUUGUCUUGUAAGAGGAGUAUAAUGGCCUUUUUAAAGCUUUUACCAAAUAUCAGGACAUGUGAUAAGAAUUUAUGAAUUGGGAAUUAAUUGAAAGAUUGUGAAAUGGGAAAGAAUUCACAUUAUGGGAAGUGUUGGAGAACUACAACCUAAGCACUCUGAUAUUUGUGACCAAGCCUGCAGAAUAUCUAGAGGUGAUGGAACUACCUCAGAUGACUGUUGUUUUAAAAUAUAAUUUGCAAGCCCCUGCACCCUUCCCCAGACAGACUGGGAAAAUACAUUCCUUUUAUUAAUAUUACUCCAGGGGACUGGAGGGUAUUCUGAGCAGUGAAACAUACAGUUUAUGUGACUUGCUACAGAAUUCAGAUUUAAAAAAAAAGACGGUGCUAAUUUGUACCUGGGAGUUGGUAUCUGUAUUAAAAAAAUUCUGUUCUAAAGAUAACUUCUUUACAUUUUCCUAUGUAUUAAAUAACACAUCUAUAUGAUAAAACAUGAAAUGUGUAAUUAAAACAAUGGCUAUAAGUAUAGAAUUGUGUAAAUGCUACCUAAAUCAUAUGUGUAAACAUUAAAUAAACAGUUUCAUUUCUAAAGGUUACAGAAAACACA